rnacentral:rRNA from 1 species
GACGUAGGGGGCCAGCGUUGCUCGGAAUUACUGGGUGUAAAGGGUUCGUAGGCGGUGUGGCAAGUCGGGAGUGAAAUCUCUGGGCUCAACCCAGAGUCUGCUUCCGAAACUGCUGUGCUUGAGUGUGGGAGAGGCGCGUGGAAUUGCAGGUGUAGCGGUGAAAUGCGUAGAUAUCUGCAGGAACACCCGUGGCGAAAGCGGCGCGCUGGACCACUACUGACGUGAGGAACGAAAGCUAGGGGAGCAAACAGG